rnacentral:rRNA from 1 species
AACGAACGCUGGCGGCAUGCCUAACACAUGCAAGUCGAACGAGACCUUCGGGUCUAGUGGCGCACGGGUGCGUAACGCGUUGGAACCUGCCCUUAGGUUCGGAAUAACUCCCCGAAAGGGGUGCUAAUACCGGAUAAUGUCUUCGGACCAAAGAUUUAUCGCCUUUGGAUGGGCCCGCGUUGGAUUAGCUAGUUGGUAGGGUAAAAGCCUACCAAGGCGACGAUCCAUAGCUGGUCUGAGAGGAUGAUCAGCCACACUGGGACUGAGACACGGCCCAGACUCCUACGGGAGGCAGCAGUGGGGAAUAUAGGACAAUGGGCUAAAGCCUGAUCCAGCAAUGCCGCGUGAGUGAUGAAGGCCUUAGGGUUGUAAAGCUCUUUUACCCGGGAUGAUAAUGACAGUACCGGGAGAAUAAGCUCCGGCUAACUCCGUG